GGGGGUGCGGCUCAGCGGAAGAACCUCUGCUUUGCAUGCAGAAGGUUGCCGGUUCGAUCCCCGCCAUCUCCA
rnacentral:tRNA from 1 species